UCGCUCUAGAUUCCGGGAGAUUUUAUCUAAUUUGCGGGCGUCAGGGAGCCGCUGUUAAUAUGCGGGAGACUCCCGGAACUUCCGGGAGAUUUGGGAUGUCUGUGUUUUGCUGUGUGUGCAUGUGAGUAUGCAUGUCGAGGUAGGGAAAGAGUAAUGGCAUAUGUUGUGUGUGUGUGUGUGUGUGUGUGUGGUUGGGUGGGCUGCCCUGGUAGUUGACCCUAAGUGUCAGGUUGUACACAGUAAAAUUGACAGUGUUAUUAAGUGUUAAUUUUUCAGAGACAUAUUUUUCAGUGUUCAUUAGUGUUAAUUAGUGUAACUUCGGGAGUUGUUUGAACAAACAUGUACACCCACGGUGUAAUUAAAACUCACAACCUAGUGUUUUAAGUGGGUGUGAAUGUACGAACUCUGGGGUGGAGUCAUUUACACUUCCGGUCCUUCAGUUGAGAUUUUUGAAAAGAAGAUGGACGCCAUUGUAGUACAGCGUGGGAUAGUAAAAGGGUCAGCAAAAUGCUCAUCAAUGUCCAGUACCAUGGAGAAAAAAGUACCUCAAACUCCUGGUUUUUCUUUUCAAAGUUUAAUUCGAGAAGGCACAUCAAUCCACUGGUGCAAAAGAAGAGAACACCUCUGCCAUAGGAGAUUCAGCAGAAAAAGGCCAAACAGAUGGUCCAGGAGGUUCUGGAGAAGAGUUAAAUGGGAGAGGAAAUAAUGGAGGAGUAUAGUAGUGCACCUUGAUGCACUGUACAAGAAGGCAUCUUCUGAAUAUCCUGGUCCAUGGAAGGAUACCACUACGAAGUCAAGGAAAAAGAUAUGCACUCGGCAUUGUGACUGUUUCCUAAUCUCAGGGAUCCUUACUCCACCAAUGGCUAUGAACACUUCUACGAUGCUGGAAGAGGGACAGGCUAUCUGGCAUGGCGCCUAAAGCAACGAGUGUCGCAGCGUUUGGUCAAGAACAGCUCGGGAGCCUUGGAAUACAUGAACACCAUGAGCUUUUUAAGGAGGUAGACUUUCUAAUGAGGAGACACAGCACUCAAAAAAUCCUCCAUAGAAAUGCAUGGGGUUAGUUUGUAACAUAUGGUGUUGUCUACAUAUAUCACACCCCCCUCCGUGGCAAAACGUGGACAUGUAAAUACAUUGAGCCAAUCAUGUGGUGUGUUGUGAAGACAUUGAUUGUGCCAAUCAUGUGUUGUGAUCUUGCCGCUGGAGCAAGAUUGGUGUUGUGAAGCCUGCCGAAAGUGCCCAAAAUGCGUUGCAAUAUGGCUGCUGAGUGGAGGGACUUGCCUAAAAGGACUUUGGGUAUACCCACAUGUAACAUCACUUCAUUAUCUGUCUUGCUUAUGGAAAAUUGGCCCAUUAUUGCACAUCUCUAGUUAUAGGUUUGAAGCAAAACACAAGUUUGUGAAAUUGUAAAAAACUUGAUUAUAUUUUAUUUCUUGUUUAUGAAAUGUUUACUCAGUGUUGCAGAGCAUUUUCAUGCAUAUGUGAUUAUGGAUUGUGAGGAACAUUGUUUUAUUGUUAAAGUCAAUGAUUUGUAUGAGUAUAAGGCCUUUGCUCAACAAAAUGCUUAUGGACCAAACUUUGACAUAUAUAUUGUACCUCUGCACAUUUAUUU